GAGUUUGAUCCUGGCUCAGGAUGAACGCUGGCGGCGUGCCUAAUACAUGCAAGUCGAGCGAACUGAUUAGAAGCUUGCUUCUAUGACGUUAGCGGCGGACGGGUGAGUAACACGUGGGCAACCUGCCUGUAAGACUGGGAUAACUUCGGGAAACCGAAGCUAAUACCGGAUAGGAUCUUCUCCUUCAUGGGAGAUGAUUGAAAGAUGGUUUCGGCUAUCACUUACAGAUGGGCCCGCGGUGCAUUAGCUAGUUGGUGAGGUAACGGCUCACCAAGGCAACGAUGUAUAGCCGACCUGAGAGGGUGAUCGGCCACACUGGGACUG
rnacentral:rRNA from 1 species